CUGAACCACCGUAGGUGGUUCGCCGUAAAACCAUUGUCCAAUGAUAGCUACCUGCACGAGCACGGCGAAUCCCAAUACUAGUGCCUGUAACACAGAGGACGAACAUACACCAUAUAUUAACGUUCGCUUUUUAACGUCGCUUCCUUCGAUGCAUAUAAUCACACCUAUCGAUAAAAAGCAACAGAAGAAAAUCCGUUGAAUCCGUUAGGCGAGGCAGAAAAUGUCGGAGAUAUUAAUAUUAUUCAACGAACGGCAAGGCAUGCUUAACGACCACAACAGCUGCAUUUACUGCUAUUAGUAGCGGGCGUUACUACUGCGUUACUUUUCAUUCAGAUCCCGUCCCGCACGUACAAAUAGUCGAUCGAGAUCGACAUCCGGAUCUCCGACACGGCGAAAUAAGAAAAAUCCCGUGCAUCCUUCGUGAGAGUUGUUCCACGAGUUUCUGCGAGCCGUUUUCUAAGGCUGUAUUCACACUGGCUAGGACAAGAACUUUCGAUUGUGUUUCAAUCGCCUUACGGUCGGGCAUUGGAUGAAUGGCAUAGAAAGUAACACUAUACAAAAUUAAAGAAACAUCUCUACCUUUCGUUGGAAACGACGUAUAAAUUUAGACAAACUACGAACCGCGGUAGAAAUAAUAGAUUCUACGCUCCUUUUUUUAAUAGUAUGCACAAUGAACUGUUGGCUAAUUUUACAAAAAUAAGAUAUCUCCCUACACCUUAAAUAUGACGUAUUACUCAACUGUAAGUAAAUCGUAAAAUAGAAAAUUAUUAAACAGCGAGCGAAAAAAGAGAGUCUUUUGUCGAAAAAAUGUUAAGUUUACUUUCCUUUCGAUGAAUUUUGAAUUCAUCUUACCUACGCAAUGGAAAACUUACAUUGUUCUUACGUUGCAAUGUAUUUUGCAAUGUAAUGUAUUAAGAUUCUGAAUCGUUAUCAAACUUACUUGAUAAGGUGCUGGUAGAUAAACUCCACUAUUUAACGAGAGCAGGAACACGCAUUUAACCAGCAAGGCUGCAAAUACAAGAGCAGCAGGUAAGCCGACUAAUCUAAAUGCAGCGCAUGACAGAGGGUUUUGACUGAGGGAGGCUGCUGCUGAGAGUCCUGCCAGGAGGAAAAGGCCUAAAAGUAGAGCUUGUCCCAGAAAUAAAUGUCGUCUGUUUGGCGCGGUUACCCUUGCCUGGAAAAUUUCAUUAAAUGUUAUGUUAUUUGACAGAAAUUCUGGGAGAAUAAUGUAAGUAAGUAGUAAACGGCGGCGUCUCACGCGAGAAAAUCAGCAUGCUCUAAUUUUUCUUCCUUAACGAAGGAAACCUCGAUAUGGCAAACAGAAAGUACCUCGAUGUAUGUUUCUAAGGUAAAAUCUCCUUGUUUAUCCGCGUUUGUCCUAUUAAUGUUCGACAAGCUAGAAAGAUAAGAUAAGAAUUGUUGCAUGUCAGACUUUUCGCAAAGUGAAUCUUUACAUGCCGCGAUAUAAUCAUACAUAGAUAAAUUAUAAUUACGCGGGUUAAUUUCACCAAUUAGACUAACUAAUAAAGCAGCCAUACGUAUCUGUUAAAAUAAACAUAGAACCCUUAGCGAUGCAUGCAACUACAUGCAUAUGUUUGAUAAAAUGAAUUAAAUUAAUUGUUGCUUUGAUUUACGCUAAUAUUUCAUUUCUCGUUUGUGAGAAUAUUAAAUAAAAGAGAAAGGACGAGCAGUAA